UACGUAGGUGGCAAGCGUUGUCCGGAAUUAUUGGGCGUAAAGCGCGCGCAGGCGGUUCUUUAAGUCUGAUGUGAAAGCCCACGGCUCAACCGUGGAGGGUCAUUGGAAACUGGAGAACUUGAGUACAGAAGAGGAAAGCGGAAUUCCACGUGUAGCGGUGAAAUGCGUAGAGAUGGAGGAAGCACCAGUGGCGAAGGCGGCU
rnacentral:rRNA from 1 species